AUUGAACGCUGGCGGCAUGCCUUACACAUGCAAGUCGAACGGCAGCACGGGAGCAAUCCUGGUGGCGAGUGGCGAACGGGUGAGUAAUAUAUCGGAACGUGCCCAGUCGUGGGGGAUAACGCAGCGAAAGCUGUGCUAAUACCGCAUACGAUCUACGGAUGAAAGCGGGGGAUCGUAAGACCUCGCGCGAUUGGAGCGGCCGAUAUCAGAUUAGCUAGUUGGUGGGGUAAAGGCCCACCAAGGCGACGAUCUGUAGCUGGUCUGAGAGGACGACCAGCCACACUGGAACUGGGACACGGUCCAGACUCCUACGGGAGGCAGCAGUGGGGAAUUUUGGACAAUGGGCGCAAGCCUGAUCCAGCAAUGCCGCGUGCAGGAUGAAGGCCUUCGGGUUGUAAACUGCUUUUGUACGGAACGAAACGGCCCUUUCUAAUACAGGGGGCUAAUGACGGUACCGUAAGAAUAAGCACCGGCUAACUACGUGCCAGCCGCCGCCGUAA
rnacentral:rRNA from 1 species